rnacentral:rRNA from 1 species
UACGGAGGGGGCUAGCGUUGUUCGGAAUUACUGGGCGUAAAGCGCACGUAGGCGGCUUUGUAAGUUAGAGGUGAAAGCCCGGGGCUCAACUCCGGAAUUGCCUUUAAGACUGCAUCGCUCGAAUUGUGGAGAGGUAAGUGGAAUUCCGAGUGUAGAGGUGAAAUUCGUAGAUAUUCGGAAGAACACCAGUGGCGAAGGCGACUUACUGGACACAUAUUGACGCUGAGGUACGAAAGCGUGGGGAGCGAACAGG